GAUGAACGCUAGCGGCAGGCUUAAUACAUGCAAGUCGAGGGACAGCACAGGUAGCAAUACUGGGUGGUAACCGGCAAACGGGUGCGGAACACGUACACAACCUUCCUUUAAGAGGGGGAUAGCCCAGAGAGAUUUGGAUUAAUACCCCGUAAUAUAGUUGAAUGGCAUCAUUUGAUUAUUAUAGCUACGGCGCUUAAUGAUGGGUGUGCGGCUGAUUAGAUAGUUGGCGGGGUAACGGCCCACCAAGUCUACGAUCAGUAGCUGAUGUGAGAGCAUGAUCAGCCACACGGGCACUGAGACACGGGCCCGACUCCUACGGGAGGCAGCAGUAAGGAAUAUUGGUCAAUGGACGCAAGUCUGAACCAGCCAUGCCGCGUGAAGGAUUAAGGUCCUCUGGAUUGUAAACUUCUUUUAUUUGGGACGAAAAAGGGUCUUUCUAGGUCAACUGACGGUACCAGAUGAAUAAGCACCGGCUAACUCCGUGCCAGCAGCCGCAGUAAUAC
rnacentral:rRNA from 1 species